rnacentral:rRNA from 1 species
GACGAACGCUGGCGGCGUGCCUAACACAUGCAAGUCGAACGGAGUGAUGAUUUCGGUUAUCACUUAGUGGCGAACGGGUGAGUAACGCGUGAGAAACCUGCCUUUCAGUGGGGGACAACAGUUGGAAACGACUGCUAAUACCGCAUAAUGUCAUUUGGGGGCAUCCCUGGAUGACCAAAGAUUUAUUGCUGAAAGAUGGUCUCGCGUCUGAUUAGCUGGUUGGCGGGGUAACGGCCCACCAAGGCGACGAUCAGUAGCCGGACUGAGAGGUUGAACGGCCACAUUGGGACUGAGACACGGCCCAG